CAGAUUUGAGAUAUAGUAUAUUUUUAUUUUGUUAAAAGAUGAUGCAAUGGAAUUCAUGGCAAAAAUUAGACUACUUGAUACCAAUUAUGAGAAGUAUGAUAUCGUGUUUAGCUUUAGUAAGUGACAACUUAGUUGAGAAGUUCAAUUUCAUAUCAAUUUCAAAAGAUUUAAAAAGAACAUUUCUCAAAUUCAUCUCUUAAAAAUAAUCAAUCGAAGUAAAAGCA
rnacentral:lncRNA from 1 species